rnacentral:rRNA from 1 species
UACGAAGGGGGCUAGCGUUGUUCGGAAUUACUGGGCGUAAAGCGUGCGCAGGCGGCCAUCCAAGUCAGUGGUGAAAGCCCGGAGCUCAACUGGGGAGGGUCAUUCGAUACUGUCCGACUUGAAGGCAGGGAGAGAGAAGCAGAAUUCCCGGUGUAGUGGUGAAAUGCGUAGAUAUCGGGAGGAAUACCAGUGGCGAAGGCGGCUUCUUGGCCGUGUUCUUGACGCUGAGGCACGAAAGCGUGGGGAGCAAACAGG